GACUAACGUUGACGGCGUGCCUAAUCUAUGCAAGUCAUUGAAGCGUAACUUCGGUUGCAAUUCAAGGCAGACGAGUGAGUAACAUGUAGGAAUCAACCCUUUAGUUGAGGAUAAUCCGCUGAAAGGCGGAAUAAUACUCGAUUGUCUCUUCGGAGUAAAGCUUCGGCGCUAAAGGACGAGCCUGCAUCCUAUCAGCUAGUUGGUGAGGUAAUUGCUCACCAAGGCUAUGACGGGUAGGGGGCGUGAGAGCGUGUUCCCCACGAUGGCACUGAGAUACGGGCCAUACAUCUACGGAUGGCAGCAAGUAGGAAUAUUGCGCAAUGGUCUGCUUAUGCGGACUGACGCAGCGACGCCGUGUGAAGGAUGACGGAUUUCGGUCUGUAAACUUACAUUAAAAAGGGGCGGCUAACUUCG
rnacentral:rRNA from 1 species